rnacentral:rRNA from 1 species
GCUUGCUACUUUGCCGGCGAGCGGCGGACGGGUGAGUAAUGUCUGGGGAUCUGCCUGAUGGAGGGGGAUAACUACUGGAAACGGUAGCUAAUACCGCAUAACCUCGCAAGAGCAAAGUGGGGGACCUUCGGGCCUCACGCCAUCGGAUGAACCCAGAUGGGAUUAGCUAGUAGGUGGGGUAAUGGCUCACCUAGGCGACGAUCCCUAGCUGGUCUGAGAGGAUGACCAGCCACACUGGAACUGAGACACGGUCCAGACUCCUACGGGAGGCAGCAGUGGGGAAUAUUGCACAAUGGGCGCAAGCCUGAUGCAGCCAUGCCGCGUGUGUGAAGAAGGCCUUCGGGUUGUAAAGCACUUUCAGCGAGGAGGAAGGGUUAAGUGUUAAUAGCACUGAACAUUGACGUUACUCGCAGAAGAAGCACCGGCUA